AAUCAACAUUGUCAUUGAAGUAGUAUGAUAAUUAUGAUUUUUUAUAUUAUAUACAUAGACAUAGUCAUAGUAUAGACUAUAGUAUAGAGAAACAUUAUUUUGGGUCUAGAAGGUUGUUUUUCAUAAACUAUUGUUGUAAGAUUAUCAGGUUAAUAAUAUAUAAUUUUAAAGAGUCCUGGUCAACCACAAUGCAAUGCGCGCUUUUGUUUACGUUUUUCCGUUACUUUUAUCAAUUGUUGCCGCCAUUUUCGAGGCCACACAAAAUGGCUGCCUCUGGCCCACAACGUAACAGAAACGUAAACGCACGCAUUGCAUUGUGGUUGACCAGGACUCAGUUUAAGAAUAUGUUU